rnacentral:lncRNA from 1 species
GUCCACUGUCUCUGGGCCCAGUUCAGCACUAGAACUUGCCUAGGAGUUGUAGCUCUUGGAGCCUAGACUGCCUUUCAAGUUUAUUUAGAGCCCCAGAGUACUUUAGCCCACAGUGGUAAGGCUUGCAGGAACUGAAGUUCAGACCACUGAGAUUGGAUUAGCAAUUCCCCUCUGGCUAAGGCUGUUUAAAUGCUCCCUCUUUGGGUGGGUAACAGCUGAGUUUGGUCCCAUUUUGUUUUCUUUUAUAAUAGGGCAGCACUGAGUUCAAUGCUUCACAACUGCUGUGAUCUCCCUUUCCCCAGUGCACAGAAAUGCUCUCCACACCAUGCUGCCACUGCCAGGGGUUAGGAGAGGGGUGGUGUUGGCUAUUCAAGACUUUUUUUCUACCUCUUCGGUGCCUCUUUCAGUGAUAUGAAGUAAAACCAGAGCGUGGAGACUGCAUUGUAUCAAAGGGCUUUUGGGAGACCAGAAGGAUGGAAAAGGAAAAUCUGGAUAUUUUAGCUCUGCUGAUUGGCUGCCCUGGCAACAGACCAAAUGACUCCAAAAAUAACUCUCCAGCUCUGACCCGUCUCCUGAACUUCAGAUGCAUCUGUCCGUGUGCCUACUUAACAGCUCCACUUUGAUGACGAACCAACAUUAUAUUUAACAUGUUUAAAAUGGAACUGUUAAUUCAGUUCCAUUCCACCACCAAACCCAUCCCUCCACCUGUCUUCCUCAUCUCAUCCAUUGCUCAACCUUGUCAUGAAGUCAUCUCCAAUCCUCCCUCUCCAUUGCCUUUCACAUUCAGUCCCCAAGCAAGUCCUGUCACUUCCAAUUUUAGGCUCACCUCCCGUUAGUCAAUUUCUCUCCAUCUCUGCUGGCACCACCUAGCUUAGAUUACCCAUUGACUCUGGGUUUACUGCAAUAACCUCACAUCUGAAUUUUCUGAUUAUUUGCUUUCCCCUUGUCUACUUGCUCCACGGAAGUCAUUGUGAUUUCUUAAAAUGUAAAUCUUGUAUUUGCUUGGUGUAAUUUGCAAUCUGGGCAGUGAGACAUCUGAGAGUCUCUACCUCUGCAAUGUCGUCCCAUUGUUUAAAUAAAUCCCAAAGUCUCCACUGUGACCAGUAUCCCUGUGUAAUCUGUCUCCUGCCCAUACCUCCAGCAUUGUCCCAUGUCCCAUUGCUCACACUCUCCAGCCCCACUGGUUCCCUACCAUUUCCUGAACCUUCCAUGCUCCUUCAUACCUUAAAGUUUGGCAUAAUAGGUUCCCUCCAACAAGAAGGUAUUUCCCAGGCUCUUUGAAACUUCCAGAUGUCAGCCCAAAUGUUCCUGUUUCAGAAAGGCUACUAGCUUACCAUUCUGUCUAGCUAGCAGCACUUCAUUAUUAACUCUGUGAAGAUCUCUAUCCUAGCAAUCCCCAUUAUUUGUGCACUGUUUUUAUUUUCUUCAGAGCACUCAUCACAUUUGAAAUUCUUUCUUCCUUCCUCCCUCCCUCCCUCCCCUGUAUCACUCCCACCUUUCUUUCCUUUCUAUCUGUCCUCAUCAGACUGUACCCUCACCACAAGGGUGAGGACCACUUUUACCAAUGCUUACUAAUGUUUGCUCAGUGCCCACACAGUGCUUGAAAUAUAGUGUGCGCUCAGGAAUAUGUGUGGAAUAAACAAAGGCAUAGCCUUCUUUGAAAUGAACAAAUGUUCAUCUGGAAACUCUGGACUGGGCUUCCUUAGGAUAUGGGUGGUUUCCUUAAAAGGAUAGGCAAUCUUUAUGUUCAAGUUGUGACUUUUCUGGCAGCUUCAUUUUUCCUCUGGCUUCAAGGUAUGCAACACCUGGGAUAUCCUCUAUGUCCUUCUUGAUGUAUGAUUUGGGGACAUCCUCUAUGUCCUUUUUGAAGUAUGAUUGGGGGAAUGAGGAACUAGCUAAAGUUUUUGAGAAAAUGUUACAUGUAUAUAUCACACACACACACACGUUUUUGAGACAGGGUCUUGCUCUGUCCCUCAGGCUGGAGUGCAAUGGCGCCAUCACAGCUCACUGUAGACUCUUCCUCUUGGGCUCAAGUGAUUCUCACAUUUCAGCCUCCUGAGUACUUAACAGGUAUGUGUUAUCACACCCAGCUAAUUAAAAAAAAUUUUUUUUUGUAGAGACCAAGUCUCAUUACGUUGCCAAGGCAAUAUAUACCCAGGUCUUGAAUUCUUGUUCUCAAGUGGUCUUCCUGCCUUGCACCCCCAAAGUAUUAGGGUAACAUGUGUGAGUCACUGGAACCCCAAGAAAAUGUUUUAAGAGGCCAUUUUGAUGUAAAGGAUGGAUGCGAGGCUCCAGAGCAAGACCUGGAAGGAGGCUGUUGGAGUGACCUAGGAACUUUGCCUCAUCCUAGUCCUGGCUCUGCUUCAAGGGGGAGGUAAAUUAUAAUUCUUGUUUCAUGAUACCCUCAUCAUUGAAGAAGGCCAAGACAUCCUCAAGGUCCUCAACAUUGGAGCCCAGGAAUGGGAAUAUUGAAGCUGAAGCACCUCUAUUUUUUAUAUAUUAUGGAUCUACCUACUGCUAUGGAAGAUGAUGCUCUAGCUCUCUUACAGCUCCUUCUACCUGCCAUCCAUAUUUCUCCGCCUCACAUCCUCCUAUUAAAGACACAUCAUAAUUUUUUGUUUUAUCAGUAUUCAGCAUUUAUAUUAUUAUGACCAAAUGAGCAUUAUUCAUAAUUGGGCCAUGUAAUAUAUCAUAAUCAUAUUUCCUGUCUUGUACAGCUUUUUGUUUUCCGUGGAGGUUUUUAAUAUAUAUUUUUUAAUUUUUAAUUUUUGUGGGUAUGUAGUAGGUGUAUAUAUUUACAGGGUACAUGAGAUGUUUUGACAUAGGCAUGCAAUGUGUAACAAUCACAUCAUGGAAAAUGGGGUAUCCAACCCCUCGAACAUUUAUCCUUCAUGUUACAAAUAAUCCAAUUACACUCUUUUAGCUAUUUUAAAAUGUACAAUUAAAUUAUUGUUGACUGUCAUCAUGCUGUUCUUUUAAUGGUGUCAUUAUUUUCAUUUGCUUCAUUUUCUAUGAACUUAUGACAAACUCAUCCCCAAGCUUUCUGCCAGAUUUCCUUCAUGUUUGAAAC